GUAAGCCUGCGAAGGUGUGCUGUGAGGCAUGCUGGAGGUAUCAGAAGUGCGAAUGCUGACAUAAGUAACGAUAAAGCGGGUGAAAAGCCCGCUCGCCGGAAGACCAAGGGUUCCUGUCCAACGUUAAUCGGGGCAGGGUGAGUCGACCCCUAAGGCGAGGCCGAAAGGCGUAGUCGAUGGGAAACAGGUUAAUAUUCCUGUACUUGGUGUUACUGCGAAGGGGGGACGGAGAAGGCUAUGUUGGCCGGGCGACGGUUGUCCCGGUUUAAGCGUGUAGGCUGGUUUUCCAGGCAAAUCCGGAAAAUCAAGGCUGAGGCGUGAUGACGAGGCACUACGGUGCUGAAGCAACAAAUGCCCUGCUUCCAGGAAAAGCCUCUAAGCAUCAGGUAACAUCAAAUCGUACCCCAAACCGACACAGGUGGUCAGGUAGAGAAUACCAAGGCGCUUGAGAGAACUCGGGUGAAGGAACUAGGCAAAAUGGUGCCGUAACUUCGGGAGAA
rnacentral:rRNA from 1 species